rnacentral:rRNA from 1 species
GAUGAACGCUGGCGGCGUGCCUAAUACAUGCAAGUCGAGCGAACGGACGAGAAGCUUGCUUCUCUGAUGUUAGCGGCGGACGGGUGAGUAACACGUGGAUAACCUACCUAUAAGACUGGGAUAACUUCGGGAAACCGGAGCUAAUACCGUAUAAUAUUUUGAACCGCAUUGUUCAAAAGUGAAAGACGGUCUUGCUGUCACUUAUAGAUGGAUCCGCGCUGCAUUAGCUAGUUGGUAAGGUAACGGCUUACCAAGGCAACGAUGCAUAGCCGACCUGAGAGGGUGAUCGGCCACACUGGAACUGAGACACGGUCCAGACUCCUACGGGAGGAAGCAGUAGGGAAUCUUCCGCAAUGGGCGAAAGCCUGACGGAGCAACGCCGCGUGAGUGAUGAAGGUCUUCGGAUCGUAAAACUCUGUUAUUAGGGAAGAACAUAUGUGUAAGUAACUGUGCACAUCUUGACGGUAACUAAUCAGAAAGCCACGGCUAACUACGUG